rnacentral:lncRNA from 1 species
AAGCAUAAACUAUAAUAAUUAAUGAUAAAACACUGACCUACUAAAAGCUGAUGCAGUAAACCUAGUCUAGCCUGUUUGAGCCUCAUAAAUCCUCAUGCUAUGCUUGUGGAGUACGAGAUGUACUCACGCUUGUAUAUUUCUUUUCUUUGGAUAAAAAUCCCAGAUGGGUAACAGAUGGUGGUAGCUAUGAGGACUACCCGGAGGACUAUUAGGCUUGUGCUUCACCAGUCGACCUUCCCUGUGUGAGGGCCAUGAGAUAGUUAUCUUAGAUUAUCAUAUUUACAUUUCCGCUGUUAUGCCAGACUUUGUGAUGUAAUAACUACGUUUGUUGUAAACACUACGAUGAUGGUAUUUAAUUUGUGACUUAUGUGUGUGAUUGAUCUCUGGGUGAACAUAAGUUUAUGCAUUCAAUUUCUUCCUUAAAAUUGGGUGUGACAAAUUGGUAUCAGAGCCGUGUUGACUGUAGGACGUAAGCCUAGGUAGCAAUGGUCGAUAUAGUGUCUUUGUUUUAUUUAUUUAAUGCUUUCUAUCUUACUUUUUGUUAUUUUAUAAAAUUUAUUAUGCUUAUAUCACUUAUUCUAUUGCCAAAAUGUUGAUCUAAUCUUAAAAUAAAAAUUUAUAGACGCCGCCUGUCACGAGGUCUCGCCGCGCCAGCACCAGGAGCUACAUCUCUCAGUUCACGCCCCAGUCGUCCCAGCCAGUGGUGGACAUCUCCGACGACGAGACUGUCCCUAUAGAGGAAGAGGAUCCGGCGAUGAUGACAGAGGUGGAUGAUGAUGAUGAGAACUGGAUGGACUCUCCUGUACCAGCUGCACCUGUUCCACCCACUGCACCCACGCCACCAGCUGUUCCAAUGGCACCUGCUGCACCUACACCACCAGCUUCACCAGUUGCACCUACUGCUCCUGCUGUACCAGAGGUGGUGUCUCCAGAUGGUCCUGAGGAAGAAAACCCAGGAUGGACUACCACCAUCCACUACAAGUAUCCUUCACUGACAGCCUACUUCCACAACUUGCUUAGGGAGAUGUUGGAUACUUACUAUGCUGAUAAGGAGAUUGGCAUCAGGUACUGCUGUGCAGAGUACAUACACCCCUAUGAAGCCACAUACUGGAGGUCGGAUCUUACCAUCACAGUGGGGAAUGAGGCACAUGACAGCUAUAUGGUAGAAAGCAUCCAUGGUCACGUUGCUAGGCGAGCUGAGGCACAGGACAACAUGGAGGACGCCGCCCAGAUGGCUUACACUCACUACCAUGGCCUUCGCUAUGAGGCCAUGAGAGCAGACCAGUACAAGUUCCUCCCUCGCCAUGAUUCUACUAUUGGUACUUGGUCUAUUGAGAACCCACAAAAGGUUGACACGCCAUUGGAUGCAACUGUUAGGCAUAUGCAUGUCCUGCAGAUGGCCAAUGAUGAUCUACAGGAGGAGCUACGUGAUCAGCAGGAUUCCAUAGAUCGCUUCCAGGAGAUGGUUGACAGCCUUAGAGAGCAGCUUGAGUUGCUACCGCUCUACAAGAAGAAGACCGCACCUCCUAGCAUCUCCGGCGACGCACCAUAGGCCUAGGAUGCCAUAGUUGUUUUAUUUCGUAGUCCCGUUGUGUCAGUUGAGUUUGGAGUGCUUGUGAACAAUUGAUGUGUCUGUUGAAUUUGUUUAUGUAUUUGCAUGAUUCGAAUCUUUGUAAUGACUGCUGGAAGGAUGUGGAUUUAUCUACAAACUUCCAUUACCUUAAGUUUAAUUAUCGAAUGCUUAGUUGGGUUGGUAUAUUCUGCUGUUGCUGUGCUGUUUUUCUGGAGCAGCCUGUGAUGUUUAACUUUUAUCUCUGAAAUGGUAAGUCCAAAAACUCUGAAAUUUUUGUGGAGGAAACUAGACUGAAGUUAUCUCUCAUUUCCAAAACUAAAGAGGAACAUGCGGAGCAUCUGAGGCUAGUCUUGCAAAAGCUUAGAGAACAUAAGCUAUAUGCCAAAAGAAGCAAGUGUGAGUUUUGGCUAAAGGAGGUCUCCUUUCUGGGACACGUGGUCUCUAAUGGAGGGAUAGCCAUGGACCCCAGCAAGGUGCAAGAUGUGUUGAAUUGGAAACCCCCGACCAAUGUGAGUGAAAUCCAUAGCUUUCUGGGAUUGGCCGGAUAUUAUAGGAGAUUCAUUGAAGGAUUCUCUAAACUUGCUAAGCCCAUGACGGCCUUAUUAGAGAAGAGUGCUAAGUUUGUUUGGUCAGACAAAUGCCAGACUAACUUUGAGGAGUUAAAGAAGAGGUUGACCACAGCUCCAGUGUUGACCUUACCUGACUUAAGCAAGAGCUUCUCCAUCUAUUGUGAUGCUUCUCGCUUAGGUUUAGGUUGUGUGCUCAUGCAAGAAGGAAGAGUAGUGGCCUAUGCAUCUAGGCAGUUGAGGAAACAUGAGUUGAAUUACCCUACUCAUGAUCUGGAGCUAGCCACAGUGGUCCAUGCUUUAAAAAUUUGGAGGCAUUACUUAAUUGGUCAUAAGUGUGAUAUUUACACAGACCAUAAGAGCCUAAAGUAUAUCUUCACCCAGUCAGACCUGAAUCUGAGGCAACGUCGUUGGUUAGAGCUGAUCAAGGAUUACGACCUGGAAGUGCAUUAUCACCCUGGGAAAGCAAAUGUAGUUGCGGAUGCACUUAGUAGGAAAAGCUAUGUCAACAGACUUCAGCUGACAUUUAUUCCAGCUGAGUUGCGAGCCGAAAUAGAACACCUCAACAUAGGCUUUGUGAAUCAUACCAUGGGUCUAGAGGUAGAGCCAACAUUGGAACAAGAGAUACGUAAGAGUCAGUUGGAGGAUGAGAAAUUAAAAGAGAUAGCAGAUAAUGUAGUGCUUGGAAAGGCACCAGGCUUCAGGAUAGAUGAGAAUGGUACCCUAUGGUUUGGGAAAAGGAUAUGUGUGCCUGAAGUGAAGGCUAUCCGAGACACAAUUCUGCGUGAGGCGCAUGACUCUGCUUAUUCAAUACACCCUGGGAGUACCAAGAUGUAUUUGGAUCUAAAGGAGAGAUAUUGGUGGUAUGGAUUGAAAAGAGAUGUAGCAGAGUAUGUUGCUUUAUGUGACACCUGUCAGAGGGUGAAAGCUGAGCACCAAAGACCUGCAGGGUUGUUGCAACCAAUGCAGAUACCUGAAUGGAAAUGGGAAGAAGUCGGUAUGGACUUCAUUACCGGGUUGCCACGUACUCAACGUGGGUAUGACUCGAUUUGGGUAAUAGUAGACCGACUCACUAAGGUUGCACAUUUCUUACCAGUCAAAACCAACUACAAAGGGCAAGGUUAGCCGAGCUAUACAUGGAAAGGAUUGUGUGCUUACACGGAGUUCCAAAGAAGAUCGUGUCCGACCGAGGAACUCAGUUUACAUUGCACUUUUGGCACAAAGUACAUAGAUCCUUGGGAACUAAGCUGAACUUCAGUUCUGCUUAUCAUCCCCAGACUGAUGGACAAACAGAGAGAAUUAAUCAAAUCUUGGAGGACAUGCUGAGAGCUUGUGCUCUGCAGUAUGGCACUAGUUGGGACAAAAGUCUGUCGUAUGCCGAGUUUUCCUAUAACAACAGCUACCAGAAGAGUCUCAAGAUGGCACCAUUUGAAGCUUUGUAUGGUCGCAAGUGUAGGACACCUUUAUUCUGGAAUCAAACUGGUGAGACAUAGGUGUUUGGACCAGACGUCCUAAGAAGUGCUGAAGAACAUGUGAGGAUGAUUAGGGACAAUCUAAGAGUGGCACAGUCGAGGCAGAAAAGUUAUGUCGACACCCGAAGAAGGGAUUUGAGCUUCAAAGAGGGUGAUUUUGUAUAUCUGAAGGUAUCUCCAAUGAGGAGUGUGAAGAGAUUCAAUGUGAAGGGUAAGCUAGCACCGAGAUACGUCGGACCUUUCAGGAUUCUUGCAAGACGUGGAGAAGUAGCCUAUCAGUUAGAACUUCCUGAGAGCUUGUCAGGUGUACAUGAUGUAUUCCAUGUUUCUCAGUUGAAGAAGUGUUUGCGGGUACCUGAAGAGCAGAUUCCUAUAGAAGAGUUGACCGUUAAAGAAGAUCUCACAUAUGAAGAGUACCCGAUAAAGAUCUUAGAAACUGCAGACAGAGUUACAAGAAGCAGAACUAUAAAGAUGUGUAAAGUACAAUGGAACCGUUAUACCGAAGAUGAAGCCACCUGGGAAAGAGAAGAGGAUUUGAGAAAGUCGUAUCCACAACUGUUUGAGUAAGCAUCACCCAAUCUCGAGGACGAGAUUAUUUUUAAGGGGGGUAGAAUUGUAACACCCAAAAUUUGGCUCUUUUAAAAAUAGAUGAAUUUGACUUUAUUAAAUAAUUUUGUGAGCAUUUUCAAUAUAGGAAAAUAAAUAAAUUUGGAGAAAUUAAAAUUAAAUAUAAGUCAGGCUAAUAUUUUGUUGCAUACAUGCUGGUGCAUUUCUUUUAUGUGAUGAGUGGUUUUGAAGAAAGGAAUUUGAAUUCAAAAAUUCAUUUGGAAAAUAGUUUGAAAAAUUUGUUGGAAAAUAAAAAGGAAAAACUUUUCUCUCUCCCCUUUUCGGCCAUUUUGGCCCAAAACCCCGCGGCCCAGCCGGCUCCCCCUCUCUCUCUCUGGCGGCUGACGGGUGGGGCCCACCCGUCGGUCUUUCCCCUUCCCCAACCGAAGCCCCAGCUCCUCUCUCUGCUAACCGCCCAGGCCGAAGCCCCGCGCCCACGAUACCCUCUAUUCUCCCCGCGCCUCGGUCUUUUAGUUGGAUAGCUCCCGUGCGCCCGAGUUUUCUCUCCCCCUCCCCCAUUCUCUCUUCUCCUUGCCCGUGCCCCGCUCGUUUCUGCGCAGAGAACCGUCGCCGGGAAGUUCUUCGUCGGCCGCGCGUAGGCCGCCGUUCCGAGCCGUUUUCGCCCCGAUUUCGCGCUGUGGUGAGCUCCGUCUUCUUCCCCGCUCCCUCCCCGUCCUGUUGCCGAGUGAAUCGUGGCCCAGAGUCCCUGUUCCGCGAGCUCCGACAGGGACGUUCAUGGCGCCGCCGUGAACCUUCUCGAAAACCGCCUCCUCGACCGCGUUUAUGGGUUGGAAUGGACUCGCAUCGCUCUCCUCUUUCUCCCAGUGCGUUCGGAAUCGAAAACCAUGCACCGUAGGUCCUUAUUCUCUUGCUCCGACGAGCUUCCUGGCCGGCCGGUGGCCACCGUGUUCUUGCUGGAGCUGGCCUGUGCGCCGUCCACUUCCUCUCUCUCUCUCUUAUUUUUUUAUUUUUUUAUUUUCUUUAUUUUUCUUUUAAUCCAGCGCGUUCAUUUGUGAUCCAACGGCCUACAAUGCCCCGUACCCCUUCGAGGGCAUUUUUGUUAAAGAGCCCCCUAGGAAUCCCAUUUUUGCGCGCGCAGUCCUCGGCCAGAGGAAUUUCCAGGAUUUAAUUUAUUUAUUUAAAUUUGUUUAAACUCUGCUUUAUUUACAGAAUUGCCACCACAUUGUUUUAGCUAUAAAAUCGUCAUUUGAACUCCGAAUCGAUCCAUUCAAGUUGCGUUAGUUUUGUAAUUUCGUAAGCUUCGCGUUGGUACCACUGUUGUUUAGGUUUACCACUGUUAGAUUUCCUAGUUAAUUACAAGUCCGUAGAUUGCUGUUGAAAUCCCAUCAAAAGCGUAAUUUUCGCGUCGUAAGUCCGUUUUUCGUGAAUUUCGCGUUGACGUGAUCGUAGCAGCACGUAGAUGAUUUUGGAAAACUUUUAUUUAAUUUAUUUACUGCUGGUGUACUGUUCUAACUUUAGGAAUUGUUCUCUUGCAUGUUUGUCUUGGUAUGCGUGAUGAUUGUGAUGUAUUGAUCGAGCCUAGACGGUGAGGAGUAUUUCGGGAGUCCGGAGCUCUUUGGGGACCAGCAAGACCAGCAGGAGUACGUGAACCAAGGCAAGUAUAGCAUGGGCCUACCUUGUUGUCCUACUCAUUUUUAAGCAUUUCACCCUGCAUGUGUAUAAUAUUGCAAACUAUAAGGACAUCCUAGCUGUUGAUGACAAUUACCUUGUUCCCAAGGGUUUUUAUUGCAUAUGGGUAGAAGUGCUAGUGCUCUAACUCCAAUUAUAUAUGAUCUGAAAUCAGUGAUGGAACCAUGGUUAAUUGAUUAAACAUGAUUAUGAUAAAUGAAACAUAGGGCUAUGGUACAAAUGAUGGUUGGUCAUGUUGUACUAGACCCUCCGUAAGGACUUAUCUGUCGGCAAAAGCUGAGACUUACAGUGCAACCGGGAGAGUCACAUGGCUCUGACUUUAGCUCAGUAAUAGGAUCUUUUCUAACUCGUUAGAGGUUACCCGAAAGGGCGCAAGAGGGGCUUUCCACUUUGGGUGUAGUGUUGCCCCUGUUUCUAUGAGUAUAGCCGCGAUGGAAAUGUGCCAUAGAAAAGGGGGGUUUUCUACAUCUACCUGCCGAGGAAACCUCGCGGCCCUAACUGGUUAGAAUAGGCCUAUGGAAGGCUUCAUAGUGUACCCUGCCCGCUCACCUUCGUAGUGUUUGGGGGUCGACGGACCCCGGGCAUAUGGGCAACACGACUCACGGUGAAAGUGCACAACCUCUGCAGAGUGUAUAACUGUUAUAACAGCCGUGCUCACGGUCACGAGCGGCCAGGAAAACUCACAGAAUAACUGGUUACUGAUGGCUAUAUGGUAUAUGAUGAUGUAUAAUUAUGCUUUAAUGUGACUUAAUGACUUAAUAUGGUUCUAAUAACUGAUCAUAUGGGAUAUUUGGGAGCUUAAGCAUAAACUAUAAUAAUUAAUGAUAAAACACUGACCUACUAAAAGCUGAUGCAGUAAACCUAGUCUAGCCUGUUUGAGCCUCAUAAAUCCUCAUGCUAUGCUUGUGGAGUACGAGAUGUACUCACGCUUGUACAUUUCUUUUCUUUGGAUAAAAAUCCCAGAUGGGUAACAGAUGGUGGUAGCUAUGAGGACUACCCGGAGGACUAUUAGGCUUGUGCUUCACCAGUCGACCUUCCCUGUGUGAGGGCCAUGAGAUAGUUAUCUUAGAUUAUCAUAUUUACAUUUCCGCUGUUAUGCCAGACUUUGUGAUGUAAUAACUAUGUUUGUUGUAAACACUGCGAUGAUGGUAUUUAAUUUGUGACUUAUGUGUGUGAUUGAUCUCUGGACGCACAUAAGUUUAUGCAUUUAAUUUCUUCCUUGAAAUUGGGUGUGACAAAUGGCUAUCCUUUUGUGAUAAUUAACUUAUGCAUUGUAGGUGGGGGUAACUAAUAUGCAGGAUUUUGAAAGGUAUUUCCUAAAAGGAUGACUAAAUAAUGAAACUAAAAAACAUUUACUGAAAAUUGAAACUGAAAAAAUACCAGAAAAAACUGGAAACUAAAAAUAAAAAAAUUGAAAAAUCAUAACUCAUUUAACUCAAACUAUAAGAAACAAUAAUGGAAAAACUGAAAUAAUGAAACCCAAACCUCAAAUAACUGAAAAAACCAAAAACAAAAAACAAAAAACAAAAAAAGAAUAAGUUGCCGCAAAAGAAAAAAAAAAAGUAGGCGCAUGGCGUGGCCAAUUGGUAGAGGGACUCGUUCCCCGGUGGGCCAAGCUGCAUGGCGCAUACCAGGCCGCCUGCCGGAGGGUCGCUCGCUCCCACGAAGCAUAAUUUGGUCCACAGCAUCCCAAUGAUGGAGAAGGUUUCAGCGUAGCCCGCGUCCGAGCUUUAAAUUUUAAUCUAGGGUCCAUGCGCACUACAUGUUUUCUUUUUUGAGAAAAAUGUACACUGCAUGUGUGUUGAACCUAAGAUUCAGCCCACAUGGAAACAAACUUAAUGGGCCCAUCAGUGUAGGGUCAGUGGUGAUUUGGUGUUCUGGAUUUGAAUCGCAAUACCGAUGCGACGGCUUGGCGUCCAUGCUGCACAACGUACCCGAUGUGCCCAACUUCAUCUCAGGCCUUGUUUAGUUUUAAAAAAUUUUGUCAAAAAAUUUAGAUUUCCUGUCACAUCGAAUCUUACGGCACAUGUAUAAAGUAUUAAAUAUAGACGAAAACAAAAACUAAUUACACGUAAUUUGCGAGACAAAUUUUUUGAACCUAGUUAGUCUAUGAUUGGACAAUAUUUAUAUUUAUCAAAUAUAAACGAAAGUGCUACAUUACUCAAAACCUCAAAAUUUUGCCAACUGAACAAGACCUCAACCCAGCUGUACCUCACAUAGAGAGAGAGAAAUGACUUUUCCUUGUUUUUUCCUAGUCUCGUGGAGUCGUGAGCAAACAUGUCUGGGUUUCUAAACAUAGUACGUGACGCCGUACACGAAAUUUCCUCAAAAUUUUACCUGAAUCCAGUACUGAACCGCCAGUAUAGAGCUUCUAUGUACUAGUGUAAUGACUAGCACAUGUAUGAUUUUACCACAGGGUUGACCAUGACAAGAAUGGGAAGAACUAUUUGGCUACUAAUAUAUCUCUUGCCUCAUCGUGCCUGUGAUUUCAAGGCAUAGGAUAUGCUCACCAAGGAUGCCAAGGAGUCGCUUGCGGUUAUAACGAAGCUAAGCAAAACACUUAGCAGCUAAUAAUUAUCAAGUCAACAACCGGCUUGUCCUUUUCUGCUUCACUUAUCUUUACCGUUAGCUCUACGUAACUUGUAAUCAACGACACUCUGCCACAUUUCUUAAGUGGUGUGUGCCCUUGGCUAACCGUACCCCAAACAACCUGAGCCAAGACCAUCAAUCAAGCUGACCUUGGAUUGGAGGCGUUCUUGCUUGUGCUUCCAAGUAGUGUGUUCGAAUAGGUUCGUGAAACGAGCGGGACUAGCGGGAGGUGCACUCUAUCAUUCACCUUGGAACAUUCGUAUUGGUCACAAUGGCAAGAAGCUACUACGGCCGGUCUAGGCUUGCUUUGGUUCAACGCGAACAUAUGGUUUUUACAUAACCAUUGUGGAGUACCCUUGUUGUGUGAUGAGCGAUUGUCAACAUGUCAACAUUUUGGUGGGUUGUUGGUUCGGUGGUUCUACUAAUAUCCUGGCACAGGGUUAUGUGUCGAAACAGUGUCUCUUGGCUUCGUGAUGUGCAGGUGUGGAGUCUGGAUGCGGUGGCAGCGGUCGGGUGAAGGUCAAGUAGGGCGUGCCGUGCUGACGGACCGGUUGCGGUGAAGGGCGGACGUGAGGCUUGGACUGACGGACCAGACGAUCGGGUGGCCAGCUGCGGUGGCUGACACUUGGGACAUUGAUAAGCGCAAGUGUACAUGGCGGGGGACGCGUACGGGCUACGCUACUCGCAGCGGGUUUCGCGGGUUUGGGCCUCAAAACCCGGGCGGAGGUCCCAAUGCGGACGGAUGGCACGUGGUGGCAUCGGUGAGAUCGCUUCGGAGCGAGGCUACCGGUGAGGAGGCGCGGUGGCCGUCGGAUUUAGGUCAUGUCGAGUUGGACUAGAAUGCCCCUGGGGUAGCUAGUUCGCUCAAAAAUAUCUAGGGACAUUUGGAGAAUAUGUAAUAUGUCUGAUAAAUAAACCGGGGAGUCCCCAUCUCCCCUAACCUUCUCCACCUACUGCUCUCUCCCUCUCUCCCGAAGCUCUCUCUGUAGGUUUUUCUUUUUAGUUUUUCCUAUGAACUGAAAUUUUGGGUAUAAUUUUGUUAUGAUUUUGGAGUGGGAAUGGAGGCCCUAAUCCUCCUCCGGGAUUUAGGAAAUUUGUUUAUGAUUUUCGUGACUGUGUUCUUGUGUUUGUGUCCUUUUUGUUCUUGGCUGCGAUCUGAAAUUUACGAAGAUUGAGUUGGGUUCGAGCAAUGAUUCUUCAGAGAUAGCUCACCAACAUCUUGGAGAUUACCUGUGUGAGUUUUGGGACUGAGUUAUUUUGUUUUGGUUGAUUAUCUUUUGAUUUCUGUAGCCUCUCGUUCUUCUGUACUCUCACUGGCAGACUGUGUUCGUGAGAAGUGGAAUCCAACAACGCUACUGGUGCCGAUGCUCUAGCGUCGUGCGUGCUCUUCAGAGCAGCGCUUCUCACUAGAUCUGCCUCAGGUCAAAUAUCUUCGUUCUUCUCAGCACGACGGCGAGCCGACCCACUGUCCGUGCUCUUCGGUUCCAGUCUGUGCGUGGAGUUUCUCUGUUUUUGAGGGCAUCGUUUUCUGUUCGUCGAAUCUCUGUUUGCUCUUUGCCAGGACGAAUCAUGGUACAGGUUGAUACAACAGCAGUGCUACCUGUGUCGUGUGCUCAAGGUACCGCGCGUGCUCACUAAGCAGCACUUGCUCUGGUUCUUGCCUGUUGACUUUGAAUCCCAAGAACCCUGUUCAAUCUUUCAGCUUUCUGUGCGAGCAGGUCGACGGUUUCUGCAAUUUUUUUUUAGGCAAGCAGGGUGUUUGUUCGUAGUGAGUCAAGUUGUUUUCUUGUUUGCUUUCCUAGUUUUGCAGGUCUGGCAUCCAGCAAACAAAGCACAACAACGUGUUCACUCUGGUUGGGCUACUCAUCGAGCUAGCACAGAGCAAGCAAGGCCGUUAGUUUAAUUCUGAUGUUCUCCCGUGAUGCCUAGUGCUGUGUUUGUCUUUCUGUUCUUUAGUUGGUGAUUUGUUUAGAAACUAGCACUUGCUCUCGGUUGAAAAUUUCAAGUGCAGUGAGCUGUUUAAUAUUUGUGCAGUCUGAAAUUUCUAGAUAGCCCUCCUCUUAUUUUCAGCUGAUUUUACAUUGGUUUUUUGGUGGCUCUGAUUUUCCGUUUUGCGCAUAUUUUGGUCGUUCGAGCUCCGAUUUGAUUUCCGUCAGUUACGUUGGUCUUCUACCGUUAUGAGGAAUUUUAUCUAAUUGCUCUUGUCACCAGUUGACUUGAGUAAUUCAGUCUCGGGUACUUAUUUGUGUUUGGCGGUGAUUUGGGACAGCGGCCAAAAAUAUUUCGAGAGAAAAUUUACGGCUCCCAU